rnacentral:misc_RNA from 1 species
GAAAUGCGAUAAGUAAUGUGAAUUGCAGAAUUCAGUGAAUCAUCGAAUCUUUGAACGCACAUUGCGCCCGCCAGUAUUCUGGCGGGCAUGCCUGUCCGAGCGUCAUUUCAACCAUCAAGCCCCCGGGCUUGUGUUGGGGACCUGCGGCUGCCCGCAGGCCCUGAAAACCAGUGGCGGGCUCGCUGUCACACCGAGCGUAGUAGCAAUCACCUCGCUCAGGGCGUGCUGCGGGUUCCGGCCGUUAAACUGCCUUACAAAACCCAAGGUUGACCUCGGAUCAGGUAGGAAGACCCGCUGAACUUAAGC